rnacentral:other from 1 species
GACGGCCUGCCCGCAUCGCGCAUUGUUGCUUAAGGUAACCCCUACAAGUUUUAAAUCGGGAGCCCGGCUCCGGCAGCAGAUUGCAGACCUCCCCGCCUUUGGCGGGACGGUGGGAGCGAGAACCUGUUGGGAGGGCACCCACCUGCUGUUUUGUCAGGCAGGUUAUUCCAGCAGCAUUACGACCGGGCGGGUCUUUU